rnacentral:rRNA from 1 species
GAACGGGUGAGUAACGCGUAGGUAACCUGCCUGGUAGCGGGGGAUAACUAUUGGAAACGAUAGCUAAUACCGCAUAAGAGUAGAUGUUGCAUGACAUUUGCUUAAAAGGUGCAAUUGCAUCACUACCAGAUGGACCUGCGUUGUAUUAGCUAGUUGGUGGGGUAACGGCUCACCAAGGCGACGAUACAUAGCCGACCUGAGAGGGUGAUCGGCCACACUGGGACUGAGACACGGCCCAGACUCCUACGGGAGGCAGCAGUAGGGAAUCUUCGGCAAUGGACGGAAGUCUGACCGAGCAACGCCGCGUGAGUGAAGAAGGUUUUCGGAUCGUAGAGCUCUGUUGUAAGAGAAGAACGAGUGUGAGAGUGGAAAGUUCACACUGUGACGGUAUCUUACCAGAAAGGGACGGCUAACUACGUGCCAGCAGCCGCGGUAAUACGUAGGUCCCGAGCGUUGUCCGGAUUUAUUGGGCGUAAAGCGAGCGCAGGCGGUUAGAUAAGUCUGAAGUUAAAGGCUGUGGCUUAACCAUAGUACGCUUUGGAAACUGUUUAACUUGAGUGCAAGAGGGGAGAGUGGAAUUCCAUGUGUAGCGGUGAAAU